GAUGAACGCUGGCGGCGUGCCUAAUACAUGCCAGUCGAGCGAACAGACGAGGAGCUUGCUCCUCUGACGUUAGCGGCGGACGGGUGAGUAACACGUGGAUAACCUACCUAUAAGACUGGGAUAACUUCGGGAAACCGGAGCUAAUACCGGAUAAUAUAUUGAACCGCAUGGUUCAAUAGUGAAAGACGGUUUUGCUGUCACUUAUAGAUGGAUCCGCGCCGCAUUAGCUAGUUGGUAAGGUAACGGCAUACGACGGCAACGAUGCGUAGCAGACCUGAGAGGGAGAUCGGCCACACUGGAACUGAGACACGGUCCAGACUCCGACGGGAGGCAGCAGUAGGGAAUCUUACGCAAUGGGCGAAAGCCUGACGGAGCAACGCCGCGUGAGUGAUGAAGGUCUUCGGAUCGGAAAACUCUGUUAUUAGGGAAGAACAAAUGUGUAAGUAACUAUGCACGUCUUGACGGUACCUAAUCAGAAAGCCACGGCUAACUACGUG
rnacentral:rRNA from 1 species